GAUGAACGCUGGCGGCGUGCUUAACACAUGCAAGUCGAACGGAAAGGCCCAAGCUUGCUUGGGUACUCGAGUGGCGAACGGGUGAGUAACACGUGGGUGAUCUGCCCUGCACUUCGGGAUAAGCCUGGGAAACUGGGUCUAAUACCGGAUAGGACGAUGAUUUGGAUGCCAUUGUGGAAAGUUUUUUCGGUGUGGGAUGAGCUCGCGGCCUAUCAGCUUGUUGGUGGGGUAAUGGCCUACCAAGGCGUCGACGGGUAGCCGGCCUGAGAGGGUGUACGGCCACAUUGGGACUGAGAUACGGCCCAGACUCCUACGGGAGGCAGCAGUGGGGAAUAUUGCACAAUGGGCGCAAGCCUGAUGCAGCGACGCCGCGUGGGGGAUGACGGCCUUCGGGUUGUAAACUCCUUUCGCUAGGGACGAAGCGUUUUUGUGACGGUACCUGGAGAAGAAGCACCGGCUAACUACGUG
rnacentral:rRNA from 1 species